rnacentral:rRNA from 1 species
AACGAACGCUGGCGGCAUGCCUAACACAUGCAAGUCGAACGAGACCUUCGGGUUUAGUGGCGGACGGGUGCGUAACGCGUGGGAAGCUGCCCGUAGGUUCGGAACAACCUCCCGUAGGGUGUGCUAAUAACGGGGAAUGUAAUCCGAGCUAAGCAUUAUCGCCCUUGGGUGGGCCCGCGUUGGAUUAGCUAGUUGGUAGGGUAAAAGCCUACCAAGGCGACGAUCCAUAGCUGGUCUGAGAGGAUGAUCAGCCACACUGGGACUGAGACACGGCCCAGACUCCUACGGGAGGCAGCAGUGGGGAAUAUUGGACAAUGGGCGAGAGCCUGAUCCAGCGAUGCCGCGUGAGUUAUGAAGGCCUUAGGGUUGUAAAGCUCUUUUACCCGGGAUGAUAAUGACAGUACCGGGAGAAUAAGCGCCGGCUAACUCCGUG